AAGUCGUAACAAGGUUUCCGUAGGUGAACCUGCGGAAGGAUCAUUAACACGUAUCCACGUUAAACCCCUGUGAACAUUAAUUCCGCUGCUCCCCAUGGCUAAGUCUUGGAUGCAGCCAAAACAGCAAUCCCUGCACUCCGUCGCGUGAAAGUGGAAGGAGGAGGGACUUCUGACUUUGGUAGAGCACUGUGGGUUUAAGAGCGCUUGGUAAGGUGGCUUGUUUUUCCCCAAGCAAUCAAUGGAUGACAGUGCCAUUGAUUGUCUAAGGAUUUCGCUCGACGAUCACUGGAGGUCGGACACCGACCGGUGGAGCAAGUCACAGGGCUUCGGCUCCCCUAUAACCCCAAUUCCUAUUGCCGCUCCGCGCUAACAACGCCGGGCACCUAAAACGUUAAACAACUGUUAACAAUGGAUAUCUUGGUUCUC
rnacentral:misc_RNA from 1 species